rnacentral:rRNA from 1 species
AGAGUUUGAUCCUGGCUCAGGAUGAACGCUGGCGGCAUGCCUAAGACAUGCAAGUCGAACGAGAUGGCCCAGUGAAGGUUGAGUGCUUGCACAAGACUGAAUCUGGAUUCCCAUCUAGUGGCAGACGGGUGAGUAACACGUGGGUGACCUACCUUUUCGUUGGGGAUAACAGUUGGAAACGAUUGCUAAUACCGAAUAAAAUGUAAGAGUCAAUUUUACAUUGAAAGGAGCCUUUAAAGCUUUGCGAUUAGAUGGGCCUGCGGCGUAUUAACUAGUUGGUGAGGUAAUGGCUUACCAAGGUGACGAUGCGUAGCCGAACUGAGAGGUUGAUCGGCCACAUUGGGACUGAGACACGGCCCAAACUCCUACGGGAGACAGCAGUUAGGAAUAUUCGUCAAUGGAGGAAACUCUGAACGAGCAAUGCCGCGUGAGUGAUGAAGGUCUUAUAGAUUGUAAAACUCUGUUGUAUGGAAAAAACGACUAGGUUAGGAAAUGAACUUAGUGUGAUGGUACCAUACCAGAAAGCCCCGGCUAACUACGUGCCAGCAGCCGCGGUAAUACGUAGGGGGCGAGCGUUAUCCGGAUUCAUUGGGCGUAAAGCGCGCGUAGGCGGCCCGGCAGGCCGGGGGUCGAAGCGGGGGGCUCAACCCCCCGAAGCCCCCGGAACCUCCGCGGCUUGGGUCCGGUAGGGGAGGGUGGAACACCCGGUGUAGCGGUGGAAUGCGCAGAUAUCGGGUGGAACACCGGUGGCGAAGGCGGCCCUCUGGGCCGAGACCGACGCUGAGGCGCGAAAGCUGGGGGAGCGAACAGGAUUAGAUACCCUGGUAGUCCCAGCCGUAAACGAUGGACGCUAGGUGUGGGGGGACGAUCCCCCCGUGCCGCAGCCAACGCAUUAAGCGUCCCGCCUGGGGAGUACGGCCGCAAGGCUAAAACUCAAAGGAAUUGACGGGGGCCCGCACAAGCAGCGGAGCAUGUGGCUUAAUUCGAAGCAACGCGAAGAACCUUACCAGGGCUUGACAUAUGGGUGAAGCGGGGGAGACCCCGUGGCCGAGAGGAGCCCAUACAGGUGGUGCAUGGCUGUCGUCAGCUCGUGUCGUGAGAUGUUGGGUUAAGUCCCGCAACGAGCGCAACCCCCGCCGCGUGUUGCCAUCGGGUGAUGCCGGGAACCCACGCGGGACCGCCGCCGUCAAGGCGGAGGAGGGCGGGGACGACGUCAAGUCAUCAUGCCCCUUAUGCCCUGGGCUGCACACGUGCUACAAUGGCCGGUACAGAGGGAUGCCACCCCGCGAGGGGGAGCGGAUCCCGGAAAGCCGGCCCCAGUUCGGAUUGGGGGCUGCAACCCGCCCCCAUGAAGUCGGAGUUGCUAGUAAUCGCGGAUCAGCAUGCCGCGGUGAAUGCGUUCCCGGGCCUUGUACACACCGCCCGUCACACCACCCGAGUCGUCUGCACCCGAAGUCGCCGGCCCAACCGAGAGGGGGGAGGCGCCGAAGGUGUGGAGGGUGAGGGGGGUGAAGUCGUAACAAGGUAGCCGUACCGGAAGGUGCGGCUG